rnacentral:misc_RNA from 1 species
AGAUGGUCUUCUUCUGCUCUGUGGAGGGAGGGAUGCCAAUAGUGUGCCUCUGGCAAGUGCUUAUGGACUUGCCAAACAUAGAGAUGGACGUUGGGAAUGGGCCAUUGCCCCUGGUGUGUCACCCUCUCCCAGAUAUCAACAUGCUGCAGUUUUUGUUAAUGCUCGGCUGCAUGUAUCUGGAGGGGCACUUGGUGGUGGACGCAUGGUGGAGGACUCAUCCAGUGUUGCGGUUCUUGAUACAGCUGCAGGAGUGUGGUGUGACACAAAAUCUGUUGUGACUAGUCCUAGGACUGGCAGAUUCAGUGCAGAUGCAGCUGGUGGAGAUGCUGCUGUUGAAUUGACCAGACGCUGUAGGCAUGCAGCUGCUGCUGUUGGGGACUUGAUAUUUAUCUAUGGUGGUCUACGUGGCGGUGUACUGUUGGAUGAUUUGCUUGUUGCUGAAGACUUGGCUGCU